rnacentral:rRNA from 1 species
AUGGGGGGAAACCCUGACGCACAACGCCGCGUGGGUGAUGAAGGCCUUCGGGUCGUAAAGCUCUGUCUGGAGGGAAGAAAUGAUUGGGAGCUAAUACCUCUUGAUCUUGACGGUACCUCUGAAGGAAGCACCGGCUAACUCCGUGCCAGCAGCCGCGGUAAUACGGGAGCCAGCAGCCG